rnacentral:rRNA from 1 species
GACGUAGGGCGCGAGCGUUGUCCGGAAUUAUUGGGCGUAAAGCGCACGUAGGCGGCUUUGCAAGUCGGAUGUGAAAUCCCUCGGCUUAACCGUGGAAGUGCAUGGGAAACUGCUGAGCUUGAGUACUUAAGAGGAUCGCGGAAUUCCCGGUGUAGAGGUGAAAUUCGUAGCUAUCGGGAGGAACACCAGUGGCGAAGGCGGUGAUCUGGGAAGAUACUGACGCUGAGGUGCGAAAGCGUGGGGAGCAAACAGG